CGCGUUUGUCUUGCGGAGCGGGGAGCGAUCGAAAUGGCUGAUGUGUUCGUCAAGAAAAAACUAGAAGAUUGGAGUUUUCAUCGAACUUUGAAACGAACCUUUCGAGAGAUAUGGUAUCUCCAACAUUAUCACAUUGCUGAAGGUUGUAAAGGCCAAAAAUAACAAAGAUAUUUAUUUAAUAUUUGAUUUUAUGGGUAUAUGAAUUACAUUUUCGCAAAGAAGACAUUCUUCAUGAAGCAGAAUUCUUCGAUGAAAAGUCGAUGAGACUUCUAAAGAGUGAAAUAUUUGGUAUGUCCCACAAUGACUCAAAUGCUGCAUCCAGUGCUUUCACAUUUAUGAUCCAAAGUUUAUUGUCUCCGUACAAAGAUGUGGCACAUAUUUUGCCAGUGCGUAGCAUAGAUGCUGACGAUUUCCAUUCAUAUAUAAAAAAAAUCUUGAUUGGUUUAGCUGCCAUAGGGUUUAA